rnacentral:lncRNA from 1 species
UAUGAGAAUUUUUUUUUUAACAUAACAUUUUAUGAAAACUUUGAUGUUUUAUACCGGUGAAAAUGACAGAUACAAUUUUAUAAUAAAUUAUCCCGAAAAGCACGAAAAACCCGAAAAAUUCAAAAAAAUUCGAUAGUCCUAUUAAGACUAGACCGGCCUUCAAAAUAUAAAUCCAAAAUGUUUACGUCCGAGUCCUAAAUAUUUAUGGAACGUUCCAAGCUCAAA